AUUGAACGCUGGCGGAAUGCUUUACACAUGCAAGUCGAACGGUAGAGGGGGCAACCCCUCGAGAGUGGCGAACGGGUGAGUAAUAUAUCGGAACGUGCCCAGUCGUGGGGGAUAACGUAGCGAAAGUUACGCUAAUACCGCAUACGAUCUAAGGAUGAAAGCGGGGGAUCGCAAGACCUCGCGCGAUUGGAGCGGCCGAUAUCAGAUUAGGUAGUUGGUGGGGUAAAGGCUCACCAAGCCAACGAUCUGUAGCUGGUCUGAGAGGACGACCAGCCACACUGGAACUGAGACACGGUCCAGACUCCUACGGGAGGCAGCAGUGGGGGAUUUUGGACAAUGGACGCAAGUCUGAUCCAGCCAUUCCGCGUGCAGGAUGAAGGCCCUCGGGUUGUAAACUGCUUUUGUACGGAACGAAAAGGUCUCUCUUAAUACGGGGGACUCAUGGCGGUACCGUAAGAAUAAGCACCGGCUAACUACGUGCCAGCCGCCGCCGUAA
rnacentral:rRNA from 1 species